rnacentral:lncRNA from 1 species
UGGUCAUUCCUUUUUAUUCCCAUGGUCAUCAUCUUGCUCAGAAUUAAUUAUCACUUGUAGUUUCCUGUCUCCUCUCCAGUGCUGUGCCUGACCAACCCAUCUGCUGCACAUCUGGCAAUUUAAAGUUCAAGAUUCCAUAGAUUAGAUAGAUAGAUAGAUAGAUAGAUAGCCAGACUUGUUCAAGGAAUCCUUAGUAGAUGGACAAGAACAAAGGCUGGGGAGUUGAACUUCAGGACUUGAGACACAGCUUUAGAACAUUACAACUGUGAGCCUAUGUGAGAUAUCUAAUCUUUUUGAGCUUUAGUUUUCUACAUAAAAUAAGGGUAAGUAAUGGUGACCAGGCAUUUAGAACUUCGAGGGCCAGCCACAGCACUCUGUGCACCUCCCAUCCUUUGCUCAUUGCACACUGAGAAGAGCACAUUUCAUUUUGAGACUCAAUCUCUCCUGUCUCUCCACAUCCCCUUUCUCUAAGAAAGAGGAGUAAUAAAAGUGAAAUUGAGCAUUUCUUCCUUUUAGCAAUUACAAACUACACAAUGCAUAUAAACAGUUUUGUUUAUUCAAUGUUUGUAUGUGGUUUUCUUUCUUUAUUCUUUAUUACUCAAUCUUAC